rnacentral:rRNA from 1 species
UACGUAGGGGGCAAGCGUUGUCCGGAAUUAUUGGGCGUAAAGAGCUUGUAGGCGGUCUGUCGCGUCUGCUGUGAAAAUCCGGGGCUCAACCCCGGACUUGCAGUGGGUACGGGCAGACUAGAGUGUGGUAGGGGAGACUGGAAUUCCUGGUGUAGCGGUGAAAUGCGCAGAUAUCAGGAGGAACACCGGUGGCGAAGGCGGCUUGCUGGGCCAGUUCUGACGCUGGAGGAGCGAAAGCGUGGGGAGCGAACAGG